UGAGUAACACGUAUCUAACCUGCCGUCUACUCUUGGACAGCCUUCUGAAAGGAAGAUUAAUACAAGAUGGCAUCAUGAGUCCGCAUGUUCACAUGAUUAAAGGUAUUCCGGUAGACGAUGGGGAUGCGUUCCAUUAGAUAGUAGGCGGGGUAACGGCCCACCUAGUCUUCGAUGGAUAGGGGUUCUGAGAGGAAGGUCCCCCACAUUGGAACUGAGACACGGUCCAA
rnacentral:rRNA from 1 species